GGAAUUUUGCGCAAUGGGGGAAACCCUGACGCAGCAACGCCGCGUGAGUGAUGAAGGCUUUCGGGUCGUAAAGCUCUGUUAGACAGGAAGAAACGUCAGAGAGGUAAUAUUUCUCUGGCCUGACGGUACUGUCAGAGGAAGCACCGGCUAACUCCGUGCCAGCAGCCGCGGUAAUACGGAGGGUGCUAGCGUUGUUCGGAAUUACUGGGCGUAAAGGGCGCGUAGGCGGCGCGUUAAGUCAGGUGUGAAAGCCCCGGGCUCAACCCGGGAUGUGCAUUUGAUACUGACGUGCUUGAAUCCGGAAGAGGAUGACGGAAUUCCCAGUGUAGAGGUGAAAUUCAUUGAUAUUGGGAAGAACACCAGUGGCGAAGGCGGUCAUCUGGUCCGGUAUUGACGCUGAGGCGCGAAAGCGUGGGGAGCAAA
rnacentral:rRNA from 1 species